UGUUGCAGCAAACUAGAAGAGAGAAGCAUCCAAGUCAACAGCCUUCUAAGCAUGCCACCCGGUCUCCUCUUUCUUUUCUGUGAUUUAUAGUAACUUGCGUUCUACCUGCCAAAUAAAUGAAAAUAAAAGCGCUUACCUUUGUAUACUGAGACCACAGCUUACAGUCACUAUAUCUCAGCCUAUUUUAUACAAGUGAUAUGGCUACGAAGGUCCAAGGAGAACGAGAAUAAAGUGAGAUAAACGUGCUGAAAACUGCUUAAAAGUAUUAACCUGAAAUACACAGAGGAUCCAACACCAGUUUUAAAAAUACAUUAACGAGGUAUUCCCAGCUCUUCAAUUAAUAAUGGUGAAUGACUGAUUCAUGAUUUUCAAACAUUCACCCAAAUUUUAAAAAAGAAGAAAAGGCUAAUACCAGCAAAAUCUAUCAGUGGUUUGUUCCCCAGGUUAACAAUUUGGGAGAGACUACAAACGACUCCAGGAGCCCUGGCUUCCCCGCACCAUGCACUGCAUCUAGUCAGCAUGAGGUCAGCAAAACGAAUCAAUGAAACAUGAAAACUCCCAGCUGAGAUGGGCCCUCUUGUGUACGUCUAGCCACUAAUGCACAGGAUGAGAAUGGUAAGUUCACAGCUACUUCCAGCAAGUGAUGAGGUUUUAUUAAAGUAUCACCCACCACUAAUAAAGACAAAAGGUCAAGGAGCAGCAGUAACAAGCAUGGUGUAAAAAUUUUAUUUCUGAUAAGUAACACUAACAUUUGUUUUAAACGAUCUGUUUCAUUCUCAUUUAGCGGUCCCAAAGAAAUCUGGUACAUAAAUUUGCCGUAUUUUGUGAAGCCCAUUCUCAGCGACGGGUACUGUUCAGCUCCAAAAACCAGAAAUGAAGAAAGACGAGGAAAGCUAAUUCAUACUAAAAACAGACAUUUUUAAGACACAGAACUUGUAAAUAUCAACAUGGGACCACACUGUUGCCUUCAUGGGGGCGAGUACCUUAAUAAAACCAUUACCUUCUAGUAACAUCAUAGGCUUCCAAACAAGGUGAGAAUGCAAGUGGAAGACUUAGGUCUGCACCCUUUACAGAACAACACAAUGUUACCAACUGAUCAUUUUUCACCAGCUUAAUCAGGUGUCUUAAAAAAUAAAUGCUGACCCAUGGCUGAAACCUGUCACUUUUCACAGCAGCACUCAACAAGAACUGGGACAAUCGAAGAGCAAGUUUUUAUGGGGACCCUGUUGCUGCUUUAGAUUCUGAUGUAAUUGAAGAGGAUAAGAGACCCUUCAAAGAAUCCCAGAAAAAUCGCUAAUCUUCUCUCUGCAUGAAAAAAGCCAGGGAGUGAACACAGUAUCUUACAGAGUGAAGAAGGCCACAAGAACAAGAGAGGGCUAUAAAAGAACUUCCUUUUUAAAAGCUUCAGAAGACAGGCCUUUCACAGAGGUCAGUGCAAUGAUGUAAGAGAGAAGCUACUACAGAGCAGAGAGGCAGACAGCAGGAUUCCUCUCACAAUCACUGCCACUAGCUGAUGGCUGCUGACCCCUCGGGCGUGAGGGAAACGUCCCAUGGCCCAGCAGCUGGACAAAACUGGACGAGCACGUCACCAAAGGCAAGAGAGUUCACCUCAGUAACCUGCCUACUACUGUUUAAUGAAAGCUGCUUCCUUUAAAUAAGACAUGAAAUGAGGCAAAAAUAAAUAAAUAAAUAAAUUUCCAUAGAAAUAGUGAGAUGCACAGAAAAAUGUCUUAAUUUUGGACACACAAAAAAUACCAAACUGUAACCACCCUCUUACACUGUCUUUCAGCGCUCUCUGUCUCCUUCAAUGGUGCCGCCAUCCAACCUACUUCCUCCAGCAUAAGAUCCUGGGAGGGACCUGAAACCUCACUCUGUUUCGUUCUCCACAUUCAAUCCAUCAAUUCUGCUUCUGAAGUUCUUCCAUCUGCUCACUUCAUGACCCCCAUCUACUUCCCUACACCCCCUGGAGAUCCCUCCACGGCCUCUAGUCUAGUCUCUGAGCUUACAAAAACCUUCUACUUUGUCUUGGCAUGCCGACUUCUAUCCUUACAAGCCAUUCUUCAUGCUACAGAGAGUGAUCUUUACAAAUAAAGUCUGAAAGUCUUAUCUCCUUACUCCUCUUAGAACCCUUCACGACGUCCCCCGUACUUAGGUGCUAAGACCAAAAUCCAAACCACAGCCUCCAGGACAGGACUGAGCACCCACUUUAGCCCAAAUUCCCCCGACCCCCUCCCCCUUCACCCACACCCAGUGCUCUCCACACUACAGACAUGUUGGCCUCCUCCUAAUUCUUCAAAUGAGCCAAGUUCCCUCCUACCAGCACCAUAGGGUGCUGAUGUGCUAUUCCCUCUGUGUGAGGUGUUCUUCUGUCCCAAUCUUCUCUGAGUUAACCCCUACUCAUUCUUCAAAGCUCAGUUCAAGUGUCACAUCUUCAGGGAAACCUUUGAGUCCCCGACAGACUAGACCAGGUUUCUCUGUCACGUUCCCUCACAGCAUCGUGCCCCUCUCCUUCAUCACAGCAACUCAGUCAGUCGUGAGUAUUCCAUUAGUAUGUCUCACCUUUAGACCAAACACUGCAGGAGAACAAAAUCCAUGUCUGCUGUGUGUCAAAGCAGGCACACAAUAUUUGAAUAAGAGUACACAUUGUUUAUAUGACACAUCUUUGAGCUAUGCCCCUACUGGGAUCAACUUCUAGAAGCUUAAUUCCAAAGCCACAUCAUCCACAGAACUUCCCAAAACGCCUAUUCUAAGUCUUUCUUAGAAAAAAAAAAAAAAACCACAAC